UAUUUCCAAAAUGGCAGCGCCCAGAAUGUGCGCUUCUUUGCGGACAAAAUUAUUUGUAAACAGACAUUCCAGCUGUAGUUUUCAGGUUUUAAGAAAUGCUUUUUUCUGGAAGUCCGAUCAAGAAGAAAAAGUAGAAGAACAUGAACCAGUAGUAAAAACAAUAUCACGUCUUAAAUCUUCAAAAAUGCAAACGCAUUCCAGAUUAGUAAAAGGAUACAAACCACCAGAAAACCUAGAAGUCAAAGUAAAAGAAAUUGUUCAAGAGAUUUUGGGUGAAGUUCCUGAAGACGUGACAUCAUUACGUCUAAAUGAUAGAAAAAUGAAAUUCAAG